UUGAAAACGGUUCUUUGCUCUAACAAUCUUGAUUUUACGAUUGGCAGCUUGGUUUGACAUUUGAAGAGCGCACCGCGGUUCGCAUGUGCUGUUUGUUUAUGUUUGUUUCUAUGUGAGGUUGCGUUGAAAUUAUUGAAACCGAUGCUGUGCCGUCCCCUUUUAUGCGCCAGUUGCACAUGCUGUAUGUGUGCAUAGAGCAUAAUAAAGCAUAAAUUGAAAGCUUUUUCAACGGUAGAAUCGCAAACAACCAUACCGUUUAGAGAGCAUUUCGGGGCUUUUUAACUCUAUUGUAACGCGUUACAGGAAUUACAACAUAAGAAUAAUUCAGAUAAAAUAUUAUUAAGAAGAAGAAUAAAUAGGCUAGACAUUGCAUCCCCAAUAAUUGAUCCGAAUUGAAAAAGGUCUCUUUAUUCCCGUGAUGGUGGGGGAUCAUAAUUACAGCUUUCGGAAACGCACAUGGUUCGGUUUGAAGGAGAAAAAAAUUAACACAACUUCUAUUAUGGAAUCAAUACGUAAAAACAAAGAAUUAGAAGAAUUGCAGUGUUUGUACAAUAAUCACAUCCCAAUGAUCACAAAAAUAAAUUUUACGAAUUUCUUCGCUUCACGCUCAGUUUGCACUUAGGUGCCAUGGUAACAUAUUCAUAUUGACCGCGGCUUAUGUUUUCUUUAUAGAAUAGUGGAAGGUAGUAUUUUUUUUUGUUAAGGCAUUUACAUUGUGUGAGAGUUUGUGUAUAUACAUAGUUCAUGAUAAGUGAAUAAAUGGCAUAUCUAUGUGGGAAAACUAUUGAUAAACAAUCAUCUGAGCCGAACGGAACAACAGCUAGAUAAAAAAAAAAAACGGGGAAGGAAACAUCAAAAGCUAAUGAAAACCGAAUGUAGCAUGGAAAAUAAAAUAAAAACUGUAGCAAUAGCAGAUAUAAACUUAAGUAAUACUGCGAUGAGGAAAAA